AAAGGAAUCUCAGCCGCACCCUAGCUAGUCCGCAGCCUGCCCCAAAUCACAACCUCAUCCAAAUUGACCUGCCCUAGCUUCCACCCCGACCACCUCUGCCGCCGAGCACCUUCCGCUGUGCUCGACCACCAUUCGCCACCCCCAAGCAUCCCGCCGCAGUGCUGGAUCCCUCCCCGACUAUUGUCGCCAGCCACCCUUCGCCUCUUUGUUCCAGACUAUCUGCACAAGGACGGUAAGGGAGUGAGACGCGAUGGGCGGAGAAGGACGAAGUCGUUGCCCACACCGCGGAUCUACCGCGGGGAUGCGGCAAGGAAGGACGCGGUUGCGCGGCCCCCGGAUCCGGCGAAGGACGUGCGCAAGAGGGGGCCAACAGGGCGCGGGGCACAACUCCAGAUCCGGGCGGCCCGAGCGGAGCGUGAAGCUAGGAAGCGGGCAUAUGCUUAUGGUGGCCACCUUCGUUGCAGCUGGCGGCAACGGCAUGAUUGUAGUUUGGCGGCUAGGUUUGGGUGCCCCGGUGUCACCCCUGCAAGUGACACGGAAGUGAGCGACCAGGAACCAGAAGAUGCCAACAGCCUGUGAAGAAGUUUUUGAGUGGCUGCCUGUCUGGAGCUAGCGGAAGAACAGGCUAGCUGCCAACGCAGAAAGACCAAAGCAGAGAAUGAAGGUAGAAGCGAGACAGAAUACCCGAGGAAAGUCGACCUUAAGACUUACUUGAGCCACGAGAAUAUUUCCCGGCUGGCCCUGGGUAAAAGAGUAGCUGAUACAAUCCUUGAAUCGAAUCAGCACGAUGAACAUGAGAGGCAUAUAGCUCUAGGUUCCAUCGAUCUAGCCAGGGGCUCACACCACAACCGCCGUUUGUUCUCCCCUUCACACUGCCUAUAAGUAGUCCAGCCCAUUCAGUGAGUAGCGGCAGGGGCAGGCUGGCAGAACAUCAUCAGCCCCAUUUGCUUUGCAACCAGGAUGGACGCCGCCACAAAAAGAUCUAUUUGCUCAAAUAGGGAAUCGAGGACAGCAAGGACCAUUGAAGUCCGAGAUGUUUGGAAUUGGACAAUUCAAUCUCUACUUUUCUCCUCCAAUGAUUCAGGAAGCAGAUGGAUAAGUAAAAUCAUAGUAUUACAGGCAGAACAAGUUCUUGCAAAACAUCAACAUGGAAGAGGUUUGCUCAUGGUUCUAGGACCGAUGCUCUUAGGGACCAUGAGUAUGUCCUAACCUAUGAAGACAAGGAUGCUGACUGGAUGCAUGUUGGCGAUCUUCCUUCGGAUUCAACAAGUUGUGUCUCAAGCUUGUAAGUUCUGUCACAAGGAUGAGAUUGCUAGAGUGCUACAAAACUUUUACGUGAUAGCAGUUGUACCAGUCAACUAGGAUGUCUACAUGAUGUUUCUUGUAUUCAUAGCAACAACACAAUCUUGUGGCGCGAGGUUGAGCUCUGAUCUUCAAAAGCAUUGCAAGCUUGGUGAUUCUUCUGCGGGAAACAUGCGGUCCUGUUUAAAUUAUGCAGUUUCACAUGAUGGUCAUGAGUCUGUUAUUCACAAGACAUCUAAUGAAGUCAUCCAACAAAAAGGUUCCGAACAAGCAAUUUGUCUUCCUGGACAUGGCUGUAGAUGUGUGUCAAGCUCAAACCAUUAGUUUAGCUUAGUUUGAACAAAAGAAAUCUUAUUUUCUUAUGUAAAUUCUAUUUAUUGAUGUAGUUGGAUGCUACUGAAUGCAUGUAUGAAUGUUGAAGUGCUGAA